UACUGUCAGGGGGAAGAAAGUGCGCUUCGGCGCAUUGAUCUAACCCAGAGGAAGUCACGGCUAACUUCGUGCCAGCAGCCGCGGUAAUACGAAGGUGGCAAGCGUUGUUCGGAAUAACUGGGCUUAAAGAGCACGUAGGCGGCCGGUCUAGCAUUUUGUGAAAUCCCUCGGCUCAACCGAGGAAUUGCGAGGUGAACUGACCGGCUUGAGCUGCAGACGGGUGACUGGAACUCUAGGUGGAGUGGUGAAAUACGUAGAUAUCUAGAGGAACGCCGGUGGUGAAAACGGGUCACUGGCUGCAUGCUGACGCUGAGAUGCGAAAGCGUGGGGAGCGAACGGGAUUAGAUACCCCGGUAGUCCACGCCGUAAACGAUGGGCACUAGGUUCGGGGGAGGUUGACCUUUUCCGGGCCGAAGCAAAAGUACUAAGUGCCCCGCCUGGGGAGUACGGUCGCAAGGCUAAAACUCAAAGGAAUUGACGGGGGCUCACACAAGCGGUGGAGCAUGUGGCUCAAUUCGAGGCAACGCGAAGAACCUUAUCCUGGGUUUGACAUGGUUGGAUGCCCUCGUCGAAAGGCGAGUAAGCUGCCUUCGGGUGAAACUUCCACAGGUGCUGCAUGGCUGUCGUCAGCUCGUGCUGUGAAGUGUUGGGUUAAGUCCCCUAACGAGCGAAACCCUUGUCUCUAGUUACCAGCGAGUAAUGUCGGGGACUCUAGAGAGACUGCUGGUGUUAAACCGGAGGAAGGUGGGGAUGACGUCAAGUCCUCAUGGCCUUUAUGCCCAGGGCUUCACACGUGCUACAAUGGCGGCAACAAAGCGAAGCAAGACCGCGAGGUGGAGCAAAUCGCAAAAAUGUCGCCCCAGUUCGGAUUGCAGGCUGACAACUC
rnacentral:rRNA from 1 species